CCUACGGGAGGCUGCAGUGGGGAAUCUUGGACAAUGGGCGCAAGCCUGAUCCAGCCAUGCCGCGUGAGUGAAGAAGGCCUUAGGGUUGUAAAGCUCUUUUACCAGGGACGAUAAUGACGGUACCUGGAGAAUAAGCCCCGGCAAACUUCGUGCCAGCAGCCGCGGUAUACGAAGGGGGCUAGCGUUGUUCGGAAUUACUGGGCGUAAAGCGCGUGUAGGCGGGCUGGUAAGUUGGGNGUGAAAUCCCGAGGCUCAACCUCGGAACUGCCUCCAAAACUGUCAGCCUGGACCCAAGUAGAGGCAAGUGGAAUUGCGAGUGUAGAGGUGACAUUCGUAGAUAUUCGCAGGAACACCAGUGGCGAAGGCGACUUGCUGGACUUGUGGUGACGCUGAGACGCGAAAGCGUGGGGAGCAAACAGGAUUAGAUACCCUAGUANUC
rnacentral:rRNA from 1 species